ACUUCCGGACGCCGCCGGCGGGGGCGCUCGGGCCUGGGCUUCGGCGCUCUGGCUCGGGCUCUGGCUCGGGAGGCGAUCGUGGCCGCUGCCGCCGCCAGAGCCGGCCGGAGUCGGCCCGGAGCCGCGUCCACGCGGAGCGGGCGGGUGGGAGCUGGCGGCUGGGCCCCUGCGGCGCCCCCGCGGCCUGCCCCGCGUCCGCCUCCGGGCCGCCGAGCCGCAGCCGCCGAGAUGGGGGCCGCCCCGGGCCGCGCCCCCGCCGGGUCCCGCCCGCCGCGCUGCCGCUGAGCGCAUGGGCCCGGACCGCGCCGCGCCGCUCCGGGAGCCGGGCCCGGGGUCCCGCCACCACCGCGCGCGGGACAGAUUGAUUCACUUUGGAGCUGUAAGUACUGAUGUAUUAGGGUGCAGCGCUCAUUGUUCCUUGACGCAGAGUCCCAAAAUGAAUAUCCAAGAGCAGGGUUUCCCCUUGGACCUCGGAGCAAGUUUCACCGAAGAUGCUCCCCGACCCCCAGUGCCUGGUGAGGAGGGAGAACUGGUGUCCACAGACCCGAGGCCCGCCAGCUACAGUUUCUGCUCCGGGAAAGGUGUUGGCAUUAAAGGUGAGACUUCGACGGCCACUCCGAGGCGCUCGGAUCUGGACCUGGGGUAUGAGCCUGAGGGCAGUGCCUCCCCCACCCCACCAUACUUGAAGUGGGCUGAGUCACUGCAUUCCCUGCUGGAUGACCAAGAUGGGAUAAGCCUGUUCAGGACUUUCCUGAAGCAGGAGGGCUGUGCCGACUUGCUGGACUUCUGGUUUGCCUGCACUGGCUUCAGGAAGCUGGAGCCCUGUGACUCGAACGAGGAGAAGAGGCUGAAGCUGGCGAGAGCCAUCUACCGAAAGUACAUUCUUGAUAACAAUGGCAUCGUGUCCCGGCAGACCAAGCCAGCCACCAAGAGCUUCAUAAAGGGCUGCAUCAUGAAGCAGCUGAUCGAUCCUGCCAUGUUUGACCAGGCCCAGACCGAAAUCCAGGCCACUAUGGAGGAAAACACCUAUCCCUCCUUCCUUAAGUCUGAUAUUUAUUUGGAAUAUACGAGGACAGGCUCGGAGAGCCCCAAAGUCUGUAGUGACCAGAGCUCUGGGUCAGGGACAGGGAAGGGCAUAUCUGGAUACCUGCCGACCUUAAAUGAAGAUGAGGAAUGGAAGUGUGACCAGGACAUGGAUGAGGACGAUGGCAGAGACGCUGCUCCCCCCGGAAGACUCCCUCAGAAGCUGCUCCUGGAGACAGCUGCCCCGAGGGUCUCCUCCAGUAGACGGUACAGCGAAGGCAGAGAGUUCAGGUAUGGAUCCUGGCGGGAGCCAGUCAACCCCUAUUAUGUCAAUGCCGGCUAUGCCCUGGCCCCAGCCACCAGUGCCAACGACAGCGAGCAGCAGAGCCUGUCCAGCGAUGCAGACACCCUGUCCCUCACGGACAGCAGCGUGGAUGGGAUCCCCCCAUACAGGAUCCGUAAGCAGCACCGCAGGGAGAUGCAGGAGAGCGUGCAGGUCAAUGGGCGGGUGCCCCUACCUCACAUUCCCUCACAGGUCCUGAACGUCAAGAACCCGCGGAGCCGCUGGGAUGACGGAGGCCCGAGAGACAAGACAGCUGAGCAACCACAGGCCCGGAACAGCCCUCUGUGCCCAUGAGGACGGGGCUUGAGUGGGCUGAGGCCCGCGGGAGGCUUCUGUCCACAGGGGUGCCCCGAUUUUGGGGUGCUGGUCAGAGUCUUCGUGUGUAGAAAGUGCAUGCCACAGACUCUGGAUGAGGGGGCAUCAGGCAGACAACCUCCCCUCAGAAGGGUCAGGAAGGACAGAAGCUGUGGAGUGCGUUGGUGCCUGGAACGUGGACCUGGAAAGACCUCUCAGGAUGCAACACAGAGAAAAGAGGAUGCCUAUGGCGAGUCCCUGGUGUCGUCGUCAGAACCUUCCAGAACCGAGGGAAGCACAGAGCCCUCAGGUCCUGGAGGGUCACAUUUGAGUCGCCAGGAAGAUGAAAGCCAACAGAGGCGGCAGGCACAGACAGGAGCAGGCCCUGCUGCGUUCCGCACCCCCAGAGGGCCCUUGUGUGGUGGGGUGGGGGCCGCAGUGUGCGUUUCUGUGUGAACAGUCUGCAGCAAACAACCUCAUCGGAGGCUCUGUAGGAACCUGCAUCAGGUCCAUGUGGCCUGUCAGGUGGGGCUGUGGUUGGAACCUUCGGUGGGAGGUCCCUCAGCCAGAGGCCCAAGUGAGAAACCCACAUCACGGGCACAGCUGCCCGGGGCCUGCUCACUGCUGCUACUGGGAAACUGGACCCGAGGAUGGUGGUGAGCAGAGGCGGGGGGAGGCCCAGGAAGCCGAUAAGCUAGCAGGACGUGCCGUGGUUGCACUGCCCACUUCUGCUCUGUUGAGGGCCUUGGUUUUGCAAAAGCUAUGCCGUUUCUCUGGUGAGUCCAUGGCUCUGCAGCAGGGACAGCAGGAGGGGAGUAGCUUAGACGCUCAUAGGAGCAGAACCCUGUUGUGGCUGCACCCACGGAGGCCCAGGCUGUGUGCACCUUGUGAGACUCUUUAACACCUGCCCAUCAGAGUUGGAGCAGGUUCAUCCCGAAAAGCCCCCUGCCCCCACUGUCCAUGGAAAAAUUGUCUUCUACAAAACUGGUCCCUGGUGCCAAAAGGUUGGGGGCCGUGGCUUUACAGCAUCUGGUACCAGAAUGCGUGCCCUGCGGGGAGGGGCCUCUUCAUCUUUAGCCUUUACAAUUACUUGGAAGUUUCACGUUUUCAUUUACUUGGCUUUUUCCUUUAUGAUAUUUUUUUCUGUUCCUCUAAAGCUGGAGAGGUUGCCAUUCUCUGUAAAUCUGAUGACUCUGACAGUUUUGCUGUUCUCAGAACCGUGGUGACGCAGCCUGCAAGGCCACCUGGAGUCUUUUUAUGGAGCUCGCGUGGCGGCAUGAGUGCUCCUGUUGGCCCCUCAGCCGUGCUGCUCUCUGGGCCUGAUGAUGGGCUUUUCAUCCUGCCCUUGGUCUCUGUGGUGCUGACUGUUCAGACCAUAAGCGCGUCUGUCUGCGCCUCUGGCUGUCUGCAGACACAGCAGCCGUGGUCCCUGCAGUGCUGGCAGCUCCCAUUCCUGUGUGUGCCACUCCCACGUCUGCGCCUUGCCCAGCACUGGGCACGGAAAAGCCAGCAUGGCCCCCCAGCCACCCAGCCUCCAGGCCCCGGGUGCAGCGGGAAAGGGUGGCUUGUUAGUUCCUUGCCAUCUGUGUGGACGCCCUGCCGUCCACACACCCGGACACACCGGCCCACAUCCCUGCUGGUGCCAGCCCCAGCCUUCCUCAUCAUCUUCCAGAAGCACUGGAUGCUCCUCCUUGGCUCCGGGACAGACCCCUUCCUGGCGCUGUGCACGGCCCAGACUCCAGCAGUGACUUUUCCCAGCUCUGAGGCAUCACCCAGUGUCCUGGGCGUGCCCUUGGCCCCUUCAUACUCCACGUUCCUUGAAGUGAAGCCUGUGGCUCCAGGGCCAGCCUCUCUCUGAGCCUCGUCUACUGUGGAACAUCUGAGCCUGGAGGAGGCCUUUUGUGUGGCCCCUGUGUCCAGUCUCACCCCAUCCUUCUCAGGUUUAGAUGCUGUUUCUACUCUCAUUGUGUAGAUGAGAAACGGGUGCACAGAGCCAGGACUGCGCCAGAGCCCACGGCGGGAGGGCAGGAAGGCCACACACACGGAGGGUCCCACCUCCCAUCUGCCACCCUGCUUGCUUGUCACAGGGGAGCUGUCCCUGGCUGCAUCCCUCCGCGGCUUAGACACUGGCGGCCUGGAUUUUAAAACAUGUUUUGCUAUGAAGGAUGUUAUUGGAGCAGCUGGCAAAAUUGGAAUAAGAUCUGCCACGUGAUGUUAUUGUAUCAGGCGCACGUACCGGGUGCCGAAGGAGGUCCGCGUGGAGCCUCAGAAGUUCGCGGAGGAGCUCAUCCACCGCCUGGAGGCUGUG